CAGCUUGUUGGUGGGGUAAUGGCCUACCAAGGCGACGACGGGUAGCCGACCUGAGAGGGUGACCGGCCACACUGGGACUGAGACACGGCCCAGACUCCUACGGGAGGCAGCAGUGGGGAAUAUUGCACAAUGGGCGAAAGCCUGAUGCAGCGACGCCGCGUGAGGGAUGAAGGCCUUCGGGUUGUAAACCUCUUUCAGCAGGGACGAAGCGCAAGUGACGGUACCUGCAGAAGAAGCACCGGCUAACUACGUGCCAGCAGCCGCGGUAAUACGUAGGGUGCGAGCGUUGUCCGGAAUUACUGGGCGUAAAGAGUUCGUAGGCGGUUUGUCGCGUCGUUUGUGAAAACCCGGGGCUCAACUUCGGGCUUGCAGGCGAUACGGGCAGACUUGAGUGUUUCAGGGGAGACUGGAAUUCCUGGUGUAGCGGUGAAAUGCGCAGAUAUCAGGAGGAACACCGGUGGCGAAGGCGGGUCUCUGGGAAACAACUGACGCUGAGGAACGAAAGCGUGGGUAGCAAACAGGAUUAGAUACCCUGGUAGUCCACGCCGUAAACGGUGGGCGCUAGGUGUGGGUUCCUUCCACGGAAUCUGUGCCGUAGCUAACGCAUUAAGCGCCCCGCCUGGGGANUACGG
rnacentral:rRNA from 1 species